GACGAACGCUGGCGGCGUGCUUAACACAUGCAAGUCGAACGGCAAGUCCCUGCUUUUGUGGUGUUCUCGAGUGGCGAACGGGUGAGUAACACGUGAGUAUCCUUCCCUUUACUUUUGUAUAACUUCAGGAAACUGGGUCUACUACCGUAUAGGAGCUCCUGCUGCCUUGUGGGGGUUGGAACUUUUCGGCGGUUGGGGAUGGACUCGCGGCUUAUCAGCUUGUUGGUGGGGUGGUGGCUUACCAAGGCUUUGACGGGUAGACGGCCUGAGAGGGUGACAGGCCACAAUGGGACAGAGAGAAGGCCCAGACGAGUAAGGGAGGAAGAAGGGGGGAAUAUGGAAAAAGGGGAGGAAGCAGGAGGCAGAAACGCAGCGUGCGGGAAAACGGCCUUUGGGUGGAAAAAAGCUUGAGCCUGUGACGAAGGGUGAGUGAAGGUAACGGGUAAAGAAGAACCGGCUAAAUACGUG
rnacentral:rRNA from 1 species